AUUACUUUCCCUCUCUAUUUUUUUACAAACCCCAUGUAAAUUUAUCUUUCUAAUAUACUUUUACUUCUUUUUACUUAACUUCCUUAAUACCCGCGUAAUCAACCCAAAUGAGUCGUUCUUUUUGGGACGGAGGGAGUAUGUAAUUGUAUGAAAAAGCUAAAAAGUAAGUAAUGAUUGGGUGUUAUAUUUAGUAAAAGAAGGAACAUUUUGGGACACCUAAAAUAGUAUAUUUGCAUAUAAUUAUGGGAUAGAGGGAGUAAUAUUUUUGCAAACAAAGUAACAAACAAAACCUAGACUUAUUUUAUUUAGUGUUUAGAGAGCCUGACGGAAGUUUAAAUCAAUCUCAAAUCUAGAAGUAAGGUCGAACACUUCCUGGUGAGUUGUGAGUUGUGUGUUUGUGACAUGAAUACAUGAUAGUAGACUAGUGUUACAUUACUUCAUUGAUUUACUCAUUAAUCAUUUACUCCAUCGGAAAGAGGAAGAUCAGCGCUUCAAAAAUCACAAUUAUAAGUGUGUUUGAUCACCAAAACCCUACAGUAAUUCGGAGUAAUCUGCUAGAAUCGAGAACUCAAAUAAGGAGAAAAUCGCUGCCAAAUUGCCGGAAAACAACUAUUUCCGCCGGAAUUAUGGCCGGAGAUCUUCGCAAUUUCGCCGGUGAAAACCUUGCUCUGAUUCAGACUGGCAGUGAUGCAUAUUAAUGGAAGGCGAAGUUAGUUCCUGACGGAGUAGCAUUUCCUCUUGUUUAUCCAGAGACAACAAGGUUUUUAUUCUUCAGUGAUGCUUUUGAGCUGAAGUAAGGUUGGUAGCCAGUGGAAGAACAUCUUCUUCUGGUUAUCUUUGCCCACAGGGCUAUUCCCUGAGGCAUUGCUGAAAAAUUAUUUGUACAAGUCAAUGCGGUGGCUGGUGUAGAAUAAUCUUCUCUUGGUGUCUUUGUCAAGCAACAAAGGGCAUGAUAUAUCUUGAGGUAAAUAUGUGACCUCUAUCUUUCUAAUGACAUAAUACAUGAUGUUGUGUACUUGUAUUAUACUCCGUAGUAUCUUUUGAUUGCUUUCUUUAAAAUUAAAUAAAAAGAAAGUAAAGACUUUUAAACAUUCAGAUUAUUCGUUUCCUAUUAAGAUUUUUUAUUGCAUUAUUAACCGGAAUGUAAGUUUAAUUAUGUGUUCGAGGCUUCAAGCAUUUGUGGCUUUAGUUGUUAUCUGAUAUCAUUUUUUUUUUUUUUUUGUAUUAUUCUUGUUAGAGUGAAUAGGGGCAAUGACAGUGAUUAGGAUGAACAAACAAGAACAAUUAAAAUAUUUGAAAGUAGAGGAGAAGACAAUAGUUGGGAGAUGGGAAGAUCCUCCAAGCAUAUCACUUUUUUUUUAAAACCUCCAAGCAUAUCACUUGAAGACUAUAAAAGUAUAAAACUCACCAAAAUCAAAGAGACUAUUGUUGUAUUGAUGAUAAUUUAAUGUUUACAAGAGUACUGGACAAAUCCUCUUAAUCUCUCUUUGAAGUACUGUAAAGAGAAUUGCACUAUAGUAGUUUUGUAGUUUUGUUGAUACGAAGGAACAUGACGAUUUCAACUUAUCUGUGAUUUCUGUACUAAAAUAUUGGCAUAACUGACAACUGUAUGACCUCCACAUGGUAGUUGAGAAUUAGAAAUGUUGAAAUAUAAUGAACUCUAAUUUCCGAAAAUACACAUCCAA